UACAGAGGUCCCGAGCGUUGUUCGGAUUCACUGGGCGUAAAGGGCGCGUAGGCGGCCUGUUAAGUCGAACGUGAAAUCCCCGGGCUCAACCUGGGAAUGGCCAUGGAAACUGGCGAACUGGAGUGCGGCAGAGGGGGGUGGAAUUCCGCGUGUAGCAGUGAAAUGCGCAGAUAUCGGGAAGAACACCCGUGGCGAAGGCGGGUCUACUGGGCCGAUACUGACGCUGAGGAGCGAAAGCGUGGGUAGCAAACAGG
rnacentral:rRNA from 1 species